AAAGGAAUUGACGGGAACCCGCACAAGCGGUGGAGCAUGUGGUUUAAUUCGAUGGUAAGCGGGGAACCUUACCAAGGCUUGACAUAUAGUUGCAAAUCCUAAGAAAUUAGGACUCCUACGAGGGUACUAUACAGGUGCUGCAUGGUUGUCGUCAGCUCGUGUCGUGAGAUGUUGGGUUAAGUCCUUUAACGAGCGCAACCCUUAUCCUAUGUUAAAUGAUCAUAGGAGACUGCCCCGGUUUAACGGGGAGGAAGGUGAGGAUGACGUCAAAUCAGCAUGGCUCUUACGCCUUGGGCAACACACGUGCUACAAUGGCUGGUACAAUGGGUAGCAAAAUCGCAAGAUGAAGCCAAUCCCAUCAAAAUCAGUCUCAGUUCGGAUUGAAGUCUGCAACUCGACUUCAUGAAGUUGGAAUCGCUAGUAAACGCUGAUCAGCUACGCAGCGUUGAAUACGUUCUCGGGUUUUGUACACACCGCCCGU
rnacentral:rRNA from 1 species